AACCCCCCCAGGAGCUGCUGAGAAAAUUGGGCAGGGCUCCCUAUAAUUGAAAAAUCAUGCAGCCCUGCCCAUCUUUUCACACGUGGCUGCAAAUCAAUAAUCAGAGCAGCACCGUGAAGCGUUUCACUUUGGCUUUGUCUCAGCUAGUUAGUCUCAGCUAGCUAGCUACCUCAAACAAAGAAGACCAAGACUUAAGUUCUAGAUCUAGUAUCAAUCCUGAAUGCUCCAGUAUUCUCAGACUCAGCUCUAAGCACAACUUUAUUCAGGAGUUUAGAACAAUCUCAGCCACAUGAAACCUCUCAGGUAAAUGACAUUUAAUUGUUGCUCAGCUAGACUAGCAAUACACAAUUGGCACCUGCAUGCCUAGUAUGUUACGUCUAUAGCUAGCUAGCUUCUCACAAACAUGUAAAAAAGUCAUGAACAAUAGUCAAUCAAGAGGGUGUGGUACCGGAAGUGGGCGUGGCCACAAAAAUUUCGCGGCGCUAUUGCGCCGCUGAUUUUUCUGCAGAAACCCCUGUCUCAAAAGUCUGGCUACGCCCCUGAUUCGCCCCUGUUAGCUAUCAGUCGUUUUACAGUUCCCCGGCUGAAAAUGUCACUCGGCCAAAAGUUCGAAUUCUUCCUUGUGAUAACAUAAGUUCAGGAAAGUUAGCACACAUGUUUUAGGUACAUUACACAACAAAGAAGGACUGUUUAUUCUCUGAAACCACAAAUAUUGCCCAAAUCACACUACAUCCCACAACAUAUCUCAUGAUCCCAUUGGAAUCCCAAAACCAAACUUGUCACACUUCAAGAGAAUGGUAUGAGGAACAUGAUACACAAAAAUUACAGGGAAAAAAACAGCGCUUUUCGAGAAGUCAGAGUUCGAAGGAUACUAAUUAGAUGCAAUACCUAAAUUUAUUAAGUGAAGCCGUACAACAUACCAAAUGAUGCAGAAUUUAUUAGGCAACAACAUGAUAUACAUUCUUAGUCUUGAAUGUUAAUGGUUAGAAAGUUACAGUUUAACUAACAGCAGCCAGUUUCUAAAAGUGGAGAAUUUCUGCAUUUUUUAAUUAACUCAAUCUCAGAAGCCAUAAUUAUUGUUUACAAACCCAAAAUUUUUUCUGAUAUGUUACCAUACCAUUCCUCACACAUGUACCAAGUUUCGUGGAAUUCUGAAGACGUCACAUUUUAAAUUUCGUUGAAUUGAUAUGGAAUGACCCUAUUGUGACCUUGCAAAAAACAAUUUACACUACACAUACAUUUGUAUACCCAGUAAGAAAACUCUUGAUAGGUAACUGGCUGUGGGUUUAUUUUGCAAUCCUGUGACAUUGUAUCUGCAUGUAAUUAUCAUUCUUUUGUCACACGUACAUUAAACUUUAUACUUGGUGAUAUAGUUAUGUUGUUAGUUUAAUCAUACUACCACCCACUCAAUUAUAUCUCCACUAGAUUGAAGAUUCGUGUUGCAAUGACAAUACUGGCUGCUUGACUAAAGUGAUUGACCAAUGGAUGAAGAGUUAUUCUGGACGACCAACCUGGAGGGAGCUGGCUGCUCAUCUCAGUAAGAUCAGAGAGGAGUAACUGGCAAAGGAUUGCAGGUACUAUGUGGCUGAUGGGUGUGAGGCUCUACUCUGGAGGGUGGUCACACAGACCAGGGGAGUGCACCGCAUCCACAAAGUGGUGGACUUCUACAUCUCCUAGAUCCAGGCGGCCAACCAUGCAGUGAGAGAGGCAGCCUGCAUCUGUACUGCAGAGCUGGGCAAUAAGCUCAGCACACAGGUGAACAAGGAUUGUCUGAGACCGUACGUGGGAUGACUGGUGAGCGUACUGUUGAAGUGUUUCCAUAACGAUAGCUGGCCAGUGAGAGGUGACUGUUAGUGUACCAUUGUUUAAUAUCCCGCCCCCUUCUUUAGUCGCCUGUGGUAACUUCCUGGGAUGCUUCCAAGAAGAGUGAAGAUCAUGGCUGGAUGAGCUGUUCCCACGUUCUUUGUCAACCUUGAGGACAGCAUACCCUCAGUUAGACAAGGGGCAGCCGCUGCUCUCACCAGCGUCACCAAGGCCUAUGGUCCUCUGGUAUUGAUCCUGGACCGUCUGUAUUUGGGAUGGUGCAUCGUAUCCAUGACGACCUGGACCGCACUGAUUAGCAGAUGUACUCGUGUGGUUCACUGGCCCCCAAAAUGAGGAGGAGAGGAUCUAUGGACUCACACUAUCACAAGCCAGGAGAGCUGUAGGAGAAGAGUGAGGCUCCUCUGGUAUUGAUACUGGACCGGCUGUAUUUGGGGUGGUGCAUGUAUCGUAUCCAUGACGACCCGGCCCACACAAACCAGCAGAUGUACUCGUGUGGUUCACUUGCCCCCAAAAUGAGGAGGGGAGGAUGUAUGGACUCACAUUAUCACAAGCCAGGAGAGCCGUGGGAGAGAAUAAGGAGUGAGGUUGCCAGUAUUUACCAAGUUGCUGGGUAAGAGAGUUCAAGAGACACCUCGAGCUGUUCCUGGACUCCAUCUUCUACUGACCGAGCAGUGACAAUGCCUGGUACAGUCUGCUGGAGUGGACUGUCUCACCUCACUCUGUCAGCUGCUGGGGAGAAUGAUCCUCAGAGGGAGAAUACGUAGAACAACACAAUCCAAUGUUGACGGUCCUGGUGACGGAAGCAGGGGGCACGUUGGGAAAGUCAGAUGACGUCACAGUCGCUAAACACUCGUAUUCUCCCAUAUCCGACACUUGGAGCGGCUCAAAAUUAAACGUGUGAAAUCGGGGUCAUAUCCAACUCGUCCGAUGUCUCGUCUACAUGCCUGGCAAACGGGUGCAUCUGGAGCUAUCAGUAUAGAGAUUUGGCGAUUGAGCAUGCUGACUUAUUUCUCUACUGCUGUGGUUUUGUGAAUUUGGUAUCGCUACCAUUGUACAGCUCGCAUUGUUCACGCGAUUGCAAACUGCUGUCGGAGUUAGAGAACAAACGACAAUUUUCUUUUGCUGCUCAUAAUAAACUAUAAUUAUAUAAUAAUUUUAUGUGUGUUACAUAAUUAUUAUACUUCUAUACUUCUACCUACUGUUUUACUAAGAGUAAUAAUUAUGUAUUGUGCAGUGAUGCGUUUACAUUCCACAUGGUUGAGAUUAAUUUGUGGGGGAGUUUUUUCACGCCUGUAUCUCUCACAAUUUUUAAUGUAA